UGAGGUCAGUGAUGAUUUAAUACUUUGCCUACAUUGGAUGAUUAUCUGCAUUUAGAUAUGAUAUUUACAAAUUAACUGAGGCCUCC
rfam:Lupinus angustifolius cultivar Tanjil chromosome LG20, whole genome shotgun sequence.